GCGGGGCUGAAGAUGCUUUGUUUCUGACCCCCACACUAGUAAAAUCCAGGCUCAGCCACAAAUAACACCUCUGUGGCAGAGGACAUUGCUGUCUGGAAAGCUGUGAUGUACCCAAGAUCAUCCAACAAAGGAAGAGCCAAGCCUGCUGGAAAAAAAAAAUGAAUUCACUUACUUCAAAGUGACCUGAGGCCCUGUAACAGUCCAUCUGCUGUGGGAUGAUCCUUCUGUAUGCUAGAAAAUAUUUUACUUUUUAAAAUAACCUUGGA